GGCUCAUUGGUCCAGGGGUAUGAUUCUUGCUUAGGGUGCGAGAGGUCCCAGGUUCAAAUCCUGGACGAGCCC
rnacentral:tRNA from 1 species